GGGGAAUUUUGGACAAUGGGCGAAAGCCUGAUCCAGCAAUGCCGCGUGCAGGAUGAAGGCCCUCGGGUUGUAAACUGCUUUUGUACGGAACGAAAAGCCUGAGGCUAAUAUCCUCGGGUCAUGACGGUACCGUAAGAAUAAGCACCGGCUAACUACGUGCCAGCAGCCGCGGUAAUACGUAGGGUGCAAGCGUUAAUCGGAAUUACUGGGCGUAAAGCGUGCGCAGGCGGUUUUGUAAGACAGUGGUGAAAUCCCCGGGCUCAACCUGGGAACUGCCAUUGUGACUGCAAGGCUGGAGUGCGGCAGAGGGGGAUGGAAUUCCGCGUGUAGCAGUGAAAUGCGUAGAUAUGCGGAGGAACACCGAUGGCGAAGGCAAUCCCCUGGGCCUGCACUGACGCUCAUGCACGAAAGCGUGGGGAGCAAAC
rnacentral:rRNA from 1 species